GGCAAAUGGCGGGAGGCUACACAUGCAGUCGAACGGCAGCACAGAGGAGCUUGCUCCUUGGGUGGCGAGUGGCGGACGGGUGAGGAAUACAUCGGAAUCUACUCUGUCGUGGGGGAUAACGUAGGGAACUUACGCUAAUACCGCAUACGACCUACGGGUGAAAGCAGGGGACCUUCGGGCCUUGCGCGAUUGAAUGAGCCGAUGUCGGAUUAGCUAGUUGGCGGGGUAAAGGCCCACCAAGGCGACGAUCCGUAGCUGGUCUGAGAGGAUGAUCAGCCACACUGGAACUGAGACACGGUCCAGACUCCUACGGGAGGCAGCAGUGGGGAAUAUUGGACAAUGGGCGCAAGCCUGAUCCAGCCAUACCGCGUGGGUGAAGAAGGCCUUCGGGUUGUAAAGCCCUUUUGUUGGGAAAGAAAUCCAGCUGGCUAAUACCCGGUUGGGAUGACGGUACCCAAAGAAUAAGCACCGGCUAACUUCGUGCCAGCAGCCGCGGUAAUACGAAGGGUGCAAGCGUUACUCGGAAUUACUGGGCGUAAAGCGUGCGUAGGUGGUCGUUUAAGUCCGUUGUGAAAGCCCUGGGCUCAACCUGGGAACUGCAGUGGAUACUGGGCGACUAGAGUGUGGUAGAGGGUAGCGGAAUUCCUGGUGUAGCAGUGAAAUGCGUAGAGAUCAGGAGGAACAUCCAUGGCGAAGGCA
rnacentral:rRNA from 1 species